UUAUAAUGGCGUCUCUGGCAGCUA
rnacentral:siRNA from 1 species